rnacentral:rRNA from 1 species
UGGUGGGGUAAUGGCCCACCAAGCCUACGACGGGUAGCCGGCCUGAGAGGGUGGUCGGCCACAAGGGCACUGAGACACGGGCCCUACUCCUACGGGAGGCAGCAGUGGGGAAUCUUGGACAAUGGGCGAAAGCCUGAUCCAGCGACGCCGCGUGGGGGAUGAAGCCCUUCGGGGUGUAAACCCCUGUUGCGAGGGAGGAAUAAGGCCUGGAGGAAAUGCCAGGCCGAUGACUGUACCCCGCGAGGAAGCCCCGGCUAACUACGUGCCAGCAGCCGCGGUAAUACGUAGGGGGCGAGCGUUACCCGGAUUCACUGGGCGUAAAGCGGGUGUAGGCGGCUCGGUAAGUCGGGUGUGAAAUCCCACAGCUCAACUGUGGAAUUGCGCCCGAAACUGCUGAGCUUGGGGCCGGUAGAGGGAGACGGAACUGCCGGUGUAGGGGUGAAAUCCGUAGAUAUCGGCAGGAACGCCGGUGGGGAAGCCGGUCUCCUGGGCCGCGCCCGACGCUGAGACCCGAAAGCUAGGGGAGCAAACCGGAUUAGAU